CCUACGGGAGGCAGCAGUGAGGAAUAUUGCUCAAUGGACGAGAGUCUGAACCAGCCAAGCAGCGUGAAGGAUGACUGCCCUAUGGGUUGUAAACUUCUUUUAUAUGGGAAUAAAACGUUCCACGUGUGGGAUUUUGUAUGUACCAUACGAAUAAGGAUCGGCUAACUCCGUGCCAGCAGCGGCGGUAAUACGGAGGAUCCGAGCGUUAUCCGGAUUUAUUGGGCUUAAAGGGAGCGUAGGUGGAUUAUUAAGUCAGUUGUGAAAGUUUGCGGCUGAACCGUACAAUUGCAGUUGAAACUGGUAGUCUUGAGUACAGUAGAGGUGGGUGGAAUUCGUGGUGUAGCGGUGAAAUGCUUAGAUA
rnacentral:rRNA from 1 species